CCAAAAAGAGAGAGAACAAAAGAAAUUUACUUUAUCAUUCAGCGUGACCUAAUACUCAUGACUACCCUGAUCUUCAAUCUUGGCCGUUGGGUUUGAGACAAGCAAUGCCUAGGAACCGUUAGAUUAUUCAUUGAAAACUUUGAAUACCUAUUGUUGUUGUUUUUUUCUUUCCAAGGUUUUAAGCUUUGCACUUCAAUGCAUUUUAUGUACAAACAAGAUAUCUCCGCG
rnacentral:lncRNA from 1 species